UUUUACUCAAAUUGAAAAAACAAAAGUACUUUUGGGAGUAUUUUUAUUGGCUGUUCUUUUUACUUUAACUUGAGUAAUUUUAUUAUGAAGUAUCUCUGCUCUUACUUGAGUAAAAUUUCUGGAUUUUAAAAUGCAUAAAACUGCAUCCCCGUCCCCACAGCUGCAGCAUGUUUAAUGGCUGCAUGGCUCCGUUUCUUCAGAGUAACUUCUCCCUGCAGAGACCUUUAAAGGUUGACA